UACAGAGGGGGCAAGCGUUGUUCGGAAUUACUGGGCGUAAAGGGCGCGUAGGCGGCCAACUAAGUCGAACGUGAAAUCCCCGGGCUCAACCCGGGAACUGCGUCCGAUACUGGUUGGCUUGAAUCCGGGAGAGGGAUGCGGAAUUCCAGGUGUAGCGGUGAAAUGCGUAGAUAUCAGGAGGAACACCGGUGGCGAAGGCGGGUCUCUGGGCCGAUACUGACGCUGAGGAGCGAAAGCAUGGGUAGCGAACAGG
rnacentral:rRNA from 1 species